rnacentral:rRNA from 1 species
UACGGAGGGAGCUAGCGUUGUUCGGAAUUACUGGGCGUAAAGCGCACGUAGGCGGCUUUGUAAGUUAGAGGUGAAAGCCCGGGGCUCAACCCCGGAAUUGCCCUUAAGACUGCAUCGCUUGAAUCCGGGAGAGGUGAGUGGAAUUCCGAGUGUAGAGGUGAAAUUCGUAGAUAUUCGGAAGAACACCAGUGGCGAAGGCGGCUCACUGGACCGGUAUUGACGCUGAGGUGCGAAAGCGUGGGGAGCAAACAGG